rnacentral:rRNA from 1 species
GAUGAACGCUGGCGGCGUGCCUAAUACAUGCAAGUCGAGCGAACAGACGAGGAGCUUGCUCCUUUGACGUUAGCGGCGGACGGGUGAGUAACACGUGGAUAACCUACCUAUAAGACUGGGAUAACUUCGGGAAACCGGAGCUAAUACCGGAUAACAUGUUGAACCGCAUGGUUCAACAGUGAAAGACGGUCUUGCUGUCACUUAUAGAUGGAUCCGCGCCGCAUUAGCUAGUUGGUAAGGUAACGGCUUACCAAGGCAACGAUGCGUAGCCGACCUGAGAGGGUGAUCGGCCACACUGGAACUGAGACACGGUCCAGACUCCUACGGGAGGCAGCAGUAGGGAAUCUUCCGCAACGGGCGAAAGCCUGACGGAGCAACGCCGCGUGAGUGGAGAAGGUCUUCGGAUCGUAAAACUCUGUUAUUAGGGAAGAACAAAUGUGUAAGUAACUAUGCACGUCUUGACGGUACCUAAUCAGAAAGCCACGGCUAACUACGUG